GAUUGAACGCUGGCGGCAUGCCUUACACAUGCAAGUCGAACGGCAGCACGGGUGCUUGCACCUGGUGGCGAGUGGCGAACGGGUGAGUAAUACAUCGGAACAUGUCCUGUAGUGGGGGAUAGCCCGGCGAAAGCCGGAUUAAUACCGCAUACGAUCUACGGAUGAAAGCGGGGGACCUUCGGGCCUCGCGCUAUAGGGUUGGCCGAUGGCUGAUUAGCUAGUUGGUGGGGUAAAGGCCUACCAAGGCGACGAUCAGUAGCUGGUCUGAGAGGACGACCAGCCACACUGGGGCUGAGACACGGCCCAGACUCCUACGGGAGGCAGCAGUGGGGAAUUUUGGACAAUGGGCGAAAGCCUGAUCCAGCAAUGCCGCGUGUGUGAAGAAGGCCUUCGGGUUGUAAAGCACUUUUGUCCGGAAAGAAAUCCUUGGCUCUAAUACAGUCGGGGGAUGACGGUACCGGAAGAAUAAGCACCGGCUAACUACGUGCCAGCAGCCGCGGUAAUACGUAGGGUGCGAGCGUUAAUCGGAAUUACUGGGCGUAAAGCGUGCGCAGGCGGUUUGCUAAGACCGAUGUGAAAUCCCCGGGCUCAACCUGGGAACUGCAUUGGUGACUGGCAGGCUAGAGUAUGGCAGAGGGGGGUAGAAUUCCACGUGUAGCAGUGAAAUGCGUAGAGAUGUGGAGGAAUACCGAUGGCGAAGGCAGCCCCCUGGGCCAAUACUGACGCUCAUGCACGAAAGCGUGGGGAGCAAACAGGAUUAGAUACCCUGGUAGUCCACGCCCUAAACGAUGUCAACUAGUUGUUGGGGAUUCAUUUCCUUAGUAACGUAGCUAACGCGUGAAGUUGACCGCCUGGGGAGUACGGUCGCAAGAUUAAAACUCAAAGGAAUUGACGGGGACCCGCACAAGCGGUGGAUGAUGUGGAUUAAUUCGAUGCAACGCGAAAAACCUUACCUACCCUUGACAUGGUCGGAAUCCUGCUGAGAGGCGGGAGUGCUCGAAAGAGAACCGGCGCACAGGUGCUGCAUGGCCGUCGUCAGCUCGUGUCGUGAGAUGUUGGGUUAAGUCCCGCAACGAGCGCAACCCUUGUCCUUAGUUGCUACGCAAGAGCACUCUAAGGAGACUGCCGGUGACAAACCGGAGGAAGGUGGGGAUGACGUCAAGUCCUCAUGGCCCUUAUGGGUAGGGCUUCACACGUCAUACAAUGGUCGGAACAGAGGGUUGCCAACCCGCGAGGGGGAGCUAAUCCCAGAAAACCGAUCGUAGUCCGGAUUGCACUCUGCAACUCGAGUGCAUGAAGCUGGAAUCGCUAGUAAUCGCGGAUCAGCAUGCCGCGGUGAAUACGUUCCCGGGUCUUGUACUCACCGC
rnacentral:rRNA from 1 species